UACGAAGGGGGCUAGCGUUGUUCGGAUUUACUGGGCGUAAAGCGCACGUAGGCGGAUCAUUAAGUCGGGGGUGAAAUCCUGGAGCUCAACUCCAGAACUGCCUUCGAUACUGAAGAUCUCGAGUCCGGGAGAGGUGAGUGGAACUCCGAGUGUAGAGGUGAAAUUCGUAGAUAUUCGGAAGAACACCAGUGGCGAAGGCGGCUCACUGGCCCGGUACUAACGCUGAGGUGCGAAAGCGUGGGGAGCAAACAGG
rnacentral:rRNA from 1 species